GAUGAACGCUGGCGGCGUGCCUAAUACAUGCAAGUCGAGCGAACAGACGAGGAGCUUGCUCCUUUGACGUUAGCGGCGGGCGGGUGAGUAACACGUGGAUAACCUACCUAUAAGACUGGGAUAACUUCGGGAAACCGGAGCUAAUACCGGAUAACAUGUUGAACCGCAUGGUUCAACAGUGAAAGACGGUCUUGCUGUCACUUAUAGAUGGAUCCGCGCCGCAUUAGCUAGUUGGUAAGGUAACGGCUUACCAAGGCAACGAUGCGUAGCCGACCUGAGAGGGUGAUCGGCCACACUGGAACUGAGACACGGUCCAGACUCCUACGGGAGGCAGCAGUAGGGAAUCUUCCGCAAUGGGCGAAAACCUGACGGAGCAACGCCGCGUGAGUGAAGAAGGUCUUCGGAUCGUAAAACUCUGUUAUUAGGGAAGAACAAAUGUGUAAGUAACUAUGCACGUCUUGACGGUACCUAAUCAGAAAGCCACGGCUAACUACGUG
rnacentral:rRNA from 1 species